rnacentral:rRNA from 1 species
CCUACGGGUGGCAGCAGUGGGGAAUAUUGGGCAAUGGGCGCAAGCCUGACCCAGCAACGCCGCGUGAAGGAAGAAGGCUUUCGGGUUGUAAACUUCUUUUCUCAGGGACGAAGAAAGUGACGGUACCUGAGGAAUAAGCCACGGCUAACUACGUGCCAGCAGCCGCGGUAAUACGUAGGGGGCAAGCGUUAUCCGGAUUUACUGGGUGUAAAGGGAGCGUAGACGGCUUGGCAAGCCAGAUGUGAAAGGCUGGGGCUCAACCCCAGGACUGCAUUUGGAACUGUCAUGCUAGAGUGUCGGAGAGGCAGGCGGAAUGCCUAGUGUAGCGGUGAAAUGCGUAGAUAUUAGGAGGAACACCAGUGGCGAAGGCGGCCUGCUGGACGAUGACUGACGUUGAGGCUCGAAAGCGUGGGGAGCAAACAGGAUUAGAUACCCCUGUAGUC